GGUAGUCAUUUCGUCGAUGAAGAUCCCAAUCAACGUCGUAAUUAAUUGUUUUUAAAUCUAAUUUUCAUUGUAAUUAUCGUUUCUAAUUAAUAUUAUAUGAAAUUAUAUUUUUUAUUUCAUUUAUAAAGUUUACUAAAAUUAAUAUGUAAUCAUCGAUUAAAAAAUUUAUUCUUAAUAAAUUUAUUGUAACUAUCAUUAAUUUUCUUUUUUAUUAAAAGUAUUACGUAACAAUUAAAAAAAUUGAAACUUCUCUUUUUUUAAAUUAAUUUCGAAAUAU
rnacentral:lncRNA from 1 species